rnacentral:lncRNA from 1 species
UUUGAAGUGAUGAUACUUGUAUGUAGAAGUGUAUUUCGAAUUAUUAUUAACUAGUGUAGGAACCCACGCGAUGCGGCGGAUAUAAUCAUAUUUGAUUAAAUUUAAUAAUAUAAAAAAUACUUUAAAACUUUUAGAAUAAAAUUAUAAUUUAAUAAAAAAUAACGAAAGAAAAAAAAAUUAUAGGAGAAAAAAAUGUGUUAUAUAGAAAUCGGACCCCUUUGUAUCUUCAUUUAGGGCAUUCUCUACUAACACCGAUGCUUUCGUGAAAUAUCACAGCGCCUUCAACCCUUUUUUGGCAAGUCCUAUAUAUUACAAAUAUAAGUGGUCGACAUCGAGGGAGAAAGGUUAGAGGCUAGGGUUAGAGUUCGACUCACUCGACAUUGACGGUGAGAGCGAGGGCGGUGCGCUUGCGGGCUUGAGGGGAGCGGACAUAGUAGGCGAGGUCGUUGUCGAGAACGCCAUUUGCCGUGCCCACAGGCUUCUCGGGCAACGAUUCUUAGAAAAUAGAAACUAAUGAGAGGGAAGUCGAAGUAGCUACGUUACAAAGAAGUAAUUAUGAGAUGGAAAGUUGAAGAGACAUACGUUAUGGAAAAAAAUUAAUAAGAUGAGAAACCGAAAAGGUAGACGUUACAGGGAAGGAAAGCCGAAGAGACCGCUUAGCUAUUUGGUUCAAAAGAGAGACAAGUGAGGGUGAAAGAUAGGCUGCCACGUGGUAAGAUUAGGGGAAAUAAUGUUAAUGUAUAGAUUAGUGGGUAUUAUAUUACAAAAUAAUUACGAAAAUGUUUAUUACGUUUUAAUUUUCGAAAAUUCAGAAAUGAAAUCCAAUAUGAUGUUUGACUCCAAAAAAAGAAAAUAUACAUUAGCUACUAUCUUACCGCGCAUGUGUACACUACUGACUCAUGAAAUACAAUAUUUCGCACAUCUUUAAUAAUUCAACAAUUUUUAAAAGUAUAUUUUUAGUCAAAUAAAGUAUCUUGUAUAUCUAAUGUACAAUGCACAUGGGAUCCCUCAGACUUUCUU